UAGGUUAUCUUUAUACUGUUUUCUGUGGGCUUUUUGGUAAUGUUCUGAUACUACAGUACCUACCCAGCUGGAGCAGUGCUCCUGAAAUUUAUGGAGACAACAGGCUUCCAUCUUCUCUGUGGAUUUAUAUGCCAGCGUAGCACAAAUGAGCACUCAGGUGCUGGUUAUUAGCAUUCUUCUUUGCUAGGCAGAAAAAAAAAUAAUCAAAGAAUUGUUGAGUGAUGUAAACCUGGUGAGAGGAUGAGAAACCGGCAGGUCUCUAAAAUCUUCUGGUACAGAGCUGAGAUUCUGGAUCAUGAAUACCUCUGCAUUGCAGUCAUAGGAGAGACAAAGCAGAGGAUGCUCAUAAAGAUGAAACAUCUUUAAGUUGUCAAGAAGAGCUGAUGGAUCUACAGCUCAAGCUCUGUUCCUUGAGGAUUGCCUUACGCUAUCCAUAUAUAUUCAUAAUAAAAUCUGAAACAUACUGUUCCUGGUUUGUGAU
rnacentral:lncRNA from 1 species